GAUGAAGAACGCAGCGAAAUGCGAUAAGUAAUGUGAAUUGCAGAAUUCAGUGAAUCAUCGAAUCUUUGAACGCACAUUGCGCCCCUUGGUAUUCCGAGGGGCAUGCCUGUUCGAGCGUCAUUAUAACCCUCAAGCUCAGCUUGGUGUUGGGGCCUGCUGCACUGGCAGCCCUUAAAAUCAGUGGCGGCGCCAUCUGGCUCUAAGCGUAGUAAUUCUUCUCGCUAUGGAGUCCUGGUGGAUGCUUGCCAUCAACCCCCAAUUUUUCUAUGGUUGACCUCGGAUCAGGUAGGGAUACCCGCUGAACUUAAGCAUAUCAAUAAGCGGAGG
rnacentral:misc_RNA from 1 species